rnacentral:rRNA from 1 species
GAUGAACGCUGGCGGCGUGCCUAAUACAUGCAAGUCGAGCGAACAGACGAGGAGCUUGCUCCUCUGACGUUAGCGGCGGACGGGUGAGUAACACGUGGAUAACCUACCUAUAAGACUGGGAUAACUUCGGGAAACCGGAGCUAAUACCGGAUAAUAUAUUGAACCGCAUGGUCCAAUAGUGAAAGACGGUUUUGCUGUCACUUAUAGAUGGAUCCGCGCCGCAUUAGCUAGUUGGUAAGGUAACGGCUUACCAAGGCAACGAUGCGUAGCCGACCUGAGAGGGUGAUCGGCCACACUGGCACUGAGACACGGUCCAGACUCCUACGGGAGGCAGCAGUAGGGAAUCUUCCGCAAUGGGCGAAAGCUUGACGGAGCAACGCCGCGUGAGUGAUGAAGGUCUUCGGAUCGUAAAACUCUGUUAUUAGGGAAGAACAAAUGUGUAAGUAACUAUGCACGUCUUGACGGUACCUAAUCAGAAAGCCCCGGCUAACUACGUG